rnacentral:lncRNA from 1 species
UGGGAGCAGGAGUUGUCUCGCUUUCUGCUGAGUCCUCUGCAUCCCCUUCUUGCAGUCAGAGCCCCACAGUUGAUGUGUGCUCUUACCGCUAAACUGAAUUUCCCAGCUUCUGCUGCAGGUCUGCGAGGCCAUGUGACCUGAGAAGCAGUGAAGGUGGCAGAAGUGGGAUCCACCACAUCCAAGCUCAGGCCAUGAAACUGCCUGUGGCAUCCUCCACGCUCUUGCUCUUCUCUCUCCUGCUGGUCAGACAUGGAUGAUCCAGUGGAGGCCUCCAAGGCCCUAGGGGAUGGCAGAACCGCUCGAUAGCAGAUGCUUGGGGCCCUGGAGGACUGCAUGGAUCAAAGCCCCCUCCAACCAACUUUGGAUUGUGAAAUGAUCAUGAGAUAAACCUUCAUUAUGGUGCG